rnacentral:lncRNA from 1 species
CGGCUGAGUGUUUGCUAGUCCGGUGAGCGGGGCUGGGGCGCGGGGGCGCCAGGCAGGCUCUGCAGGCGCACUGCUGAGAGGGGCCGGAGCGUGGAGACCGCAGGCAAGGACAGGUUUCAGCACUGAGGCCUAGGUAUAACCACAGUGCCACUGCAAAACAGCGUACUGGAGGGUCUCUGCUGAGAAUGGACAUAUACAUGAUUUCCUGACUGCUGUAGAGACAGCUGGGGGAGUG